UACGUAGGUGGCGAGCGUUGUCCGGAUUUAUUGGGUUUAAAGGGUCCGUAGGCGGUUUUGUAAGUCAGUGGUGAAAGCCCAUCGCUCAACGGUGGAACGGCCAUUGAUACUGCAGGACUUGAAUUAUUAGGAAGUAACUAGAAUAUGUAGUGUAGCGGUGAAAUGCUUAGAGAUUACAUGGAAUACCAAUUGCGAAGGCAGGUUACUACUAAUGGAUUGACGCUGAUGGACGAAAGCGUGGGUAGCGAACAGG
rnacentral:rRNA from 1 species